rnacentral:misc_RNA from 1 species
CAUAGAAUGUGCUGUUGUCGCAUGAAUAGGAAUAGGUUGUUCAAGAAGUGGUUGCAUAUAGUUGAAGGGGGCUUGUAUGAAGAAGAAAAGGAAGAAGGAGCUGUUGAGUCAGAUGUGGCAUUAGACUGUUUUCAAAUAGGUUCUUCUCGAAGUGGUCAUUAGUAAGCCAAGGAACUGAUUGACCCAAGGCAAAGAGUCCGUUCAUGGUAUAAGUCCUUUCGACAAAGAAUGCCGACUUUCCUAAAACGAUUGGAACUAGGGGAAGGGGAGAAGGCAGAAGGUAAGAGAAAAGGGAAAGGGGAGAGUGGUCAAAAGCGGCAGACUGUAAAUCUGUUGAAGUUUUUCUACGUAGGUUCGAAUCCUGCCUCUCCCACUUGUUGUAGACUGAAGAGAAGAGAAAGGAGGCAUUCGUCAGCGUAGGAAGGCCCACCGAGCGAAGCUCUUUCUUUUUUUUGGCCGUGCCGAAAAUUUGAUCGUAUGUUAGUUAGAGAGGUUGGCGAACUACUACGAUCAAUAGAUUCCCCAUCUAUAUCCAAUCCCAACGGGGAAUAGAAGCGAGUCGCUUCCGGCUGGCUUAUAGUCCUAGUCUUUUAGCUUAUGUAAUGGUCGGCCUUCCUACACGCACGCGCCCGCCGGAAUGCCUCCUUGUUUUAGUUUUGGACGAAGCCAAGCCGAUACAUACAAUAUACGAUAGGCGAAGGAAAGACCCCCAUUUAUUGAAUAGCGCCUGGGCAAGUUUGAUCGAGGAUUGGAGAGGUACUUUAGUAACUCGACUGAAGGGAGAAGUGGGAAGAAAAGGCUCGGGAUGGAUUUAGGAGUCUUUGUGCGAGCCGUAUGCGGUGAGAGUCGCACGUACGGUAACGAGGGGGGUUCGCGUCUAUACGUGUAGUGUGGUGGUUGGGCCUACCCACCCUAUUUGUUCCAUGAUCUAUGGGUCUACUGGAGCUACCCACUUCGAUCAAUUAGCCAAGAUUUUGACCGGAUACGAAAUCACUGGUGCUCGAUCUAGUGGUAUUUUUAUGGGGAUUCUGUCUAUCGCUGUAGGAUUCCUAUUCAAGAUCACUGCAGUUCCUUUUCGGGCGGCUGUAGGACGGACGGCCGCCUAUAGGUGGUAGGGUAGGGUGGGUGGUACCGCUCAGAUUGCGGCCAAUCUUCCUAACCGCGCGCGGGCCGGGCUUAGAGCGAGUGAAACUCAUCACUACCUCGUAAGGGCAUUGAGACCAUAGCAUGUUACACGAGGAAAAAAAACCCUUGUAGUGUUGUCACACAGCUGCCCGCCUAGAAGAGUCACUCGCUCUGUAGUGUUGUCACACAAGAUAAGCACGUCGCCCGCCUGCUGGCCGGGCGAAUCGAAGUUCUCUUCCGGUCAACUGUCCACCCAGUCAAGUGCAAAAAACACAGUAGAAUCACGCAACGCACGCUACUGGUGUGCUUCCUGCCCGCGAGGAAAGAAAGAAGAGCGACAAGGUUGAGUUCAGAUUUGACUGUUUGCAGCAUGGGAGCAGAUUACCCAAAAAAUCCCUGGGAACAAUGAAAAAAAAAGAUAUCUCGGUAACAAAAACCAUAGGGGGCUGUAUUGGCGAGAUCCAACGGUGAACAGCUGCCCAAAAUAAAAACCGCCUGGAAGUCCGAGGACCUUUAGUACCGUACCCCCAAACCAGCAGCCUUCGCGCCAAGCAAGACCGCCCUUGUCCCUCUCCUUUCAGUCGAGUUUGUGUUCACAACCUCUCUAGACAAGUGCUCGAGUGACUUCGCCCCUCUCCUUUUCAGUCGAGUUGCUAAAGCACCUCUCGCAAUAAGCUCGAGUUCCUCUUUUAUAAGAGUAAUAAAUACCUGCAGACCUUUCCUUUCUCCAUUCCGCCUCAUUCAUUGUUUUAUUCCGCAAAGCAAAAGUGGUUCGUAUGCCUACUUUACCUACUUGACGAAAGGGAACGCACUUUGUUGAGUUUCCGGGUUUUUUUAUAGAUUGGAUUCAGUCAGCGUCACGACAUAAUCAAAAGGAAGGAGUGAGGCUUUGGUUACUGGCGAACGCUUCCAAAGGCGACCUUCUCGAGUUUCCGGCUGUUUCCUAGAUUGAAGGAAGUAGCCCUUUCGUCGCCCUACCAAACGCAAGAAGUCACUAUCAAACAGCUCGCCCUACUGUGACAAAGGUGCGCUCCGCCCGGUGACUAAGAAAGAGGUUUGCGCAACAAUUGAAGUGAUGAGGUCGAGGGAAGUAGGGCUCCUAUUGACUAAAGAUUGGUUCUUCGCUUUCCUUUAGAAUGAAAGUAGCUAUGAAGCCCCUACCUACAACUUACUUUGUUUGAUUCAAAAGGCGAACAGCCCCCCCAACUAGUUGUAUGGGGUGGGGUUCUUGUGGUAAGCUGCCUUGGAUAUGAGAAAUUCCUAAAAAAAGGCAAAGUCCGCUAUUAGACGAAGAUCUUCCUAUCAAUAGAUAGGAAUUAGUGUUCGAUAUAGGGGAUAGGAUCUAUCUGCUCUCUCUAAAAAAAAAUUGAGAGAGCAGAUAUAACGAUAUAAAAUCGGAAGGAUAGAUAGACAUCUAAAGAAAGGGAUGUCUAUUCUAUUCCUCUUUUUUUAUAGAAAGAAAAGAUAUCUCGUUCAUCUAUCUUUUGUUUAUUUAUCAUUGAUUCUAUCUAUGAAUCAAGUCGAAUUCGUUUUUGGCCGAAGCCCCGAAUGGAUUGGAUCGUUUCCCGCCAAUGAAAUGAACGCGGAGCCCGUUCCGAAUGCUUCUUCAAUCCGGAAGUUCUCGCGAAGAGAAUAAGAUGCUGCUCCCCCUCCCUCUGUCUUUUUUCGCUUUGCUAAUCUUCCCCUUCCCCUCUAACGGGGGCCAGGCGGCGGCGGGCGCGGGAGGAAAAAACCUAAGAGAAGACGCUCUUAGGUCCUUCUUUUUUCAGUGCAACAUAGGAAAGCGCCCUCUUUUUGUCAUUUCUGCAGCUUUCCAGAUUUGGUAUUGAACGCAUGGCGUAGCUAGGACCUUAAAAUUAUGUUUGAGCCUAUGUUCAAACAAAACCCAUCCCCCGGCUGGAAAGAAUGCCCGCCAAGUU